rnacentral:rRNA from 1 species
GUUUCCGUAGGUGAACCUGCGGAAGGAUCAUUGUCGAGACCUGCCCAGCAGAACGACCCGCGAACUGUCUUUAACUUCGGGGGCCUGCGGGCCUCGUGCCCGUACGCUCCCCCCCGUGCUGUGUAGGGUGUCAGCCGUACGCUCGCGCGUGCGCCUGCCCCUCGCAGCGCAUUAACGAAACCCCGGCGUGAAUCGCGCCAAGGAAAACAGAACGAGAGAGCUCGCCCCCGUCGCCCCGGAGACGGUGUGUGCGCGGGGUGCGUUGCCUUCUUUAAUUAUCUAUAACGACUCUCGGCAACGGAUAUCUCGGCUCUCGCAUCGAUGAAGAACGUAGCGAAAUGCGAUACUUGGUGUGAAUUGCAGAAUCCCGUGAACCAUCGAGUCUUUGAACGCAAGUUGCGCCCUAAGCCAUUAGGCCGAGGGCACGUCUGCCUGGGUGUCACGCAUCGUUGCCCCCCCAAAUCACGUGAUAUUGCGGCGGUGGGCGGAGAUUGGCCUCCCGUGUGCCCGUCCGUGCGGUUGGCCCAAAUACGAGCUCUCGGUGACGCUUCCCGCGACAAUCGGUGGUGUUUGAAACAUAACCUAGUGAUCCUGUCGUGCGGUUGCGCUCUCCCGCCACGAGCUCCCCGACCCUCGAGAGUCGGCGAAAGCCUGCUCGCAUCGCGACCCCAGGUCAG